rnacentral:piRNA from 1 species
UGCUAAAUACAAAAAACCUGGCUAAAUCAGAAACCUGUUGUAUACUGCUAAUUUAUUUGCAAUAUAUCUAUUGUGUGUGCACAGUCCACAACAAACUAAUGGCAAACCUGUAGCUGGUCGCCCCUCCUCUGGAGAAAGUAGGUCUCGCAAGUCUGAGAGCUGCGGACUGAGGCGGACUUUCUCUGCGCAUUUAGCGGAGCGGCCCAAGCACAUUCCAACUUCUGCCAUGGACAUUCCUAAGAGGUGAGACCUAAGAACAAAUAUGUAAAGGCUUAAUGAGCAACCACUUCUAUCAAAACCAAAGCUAACUUGAAGAAAACCAACCCAACCUCUACCUAUUGGAGAAACCACAUUUUUUUAGGAAAUGGUCUCUCAAGGGAGGUUCAAUUGUAUUCUAAAUUUUUCCCGCAUUCUAUAUGGAUUCAAGCCAAAAUGACAGAAAUUCCCAGAUGUAAAUGCAAUGGGGCUUACUUUGGAUGAGUUAGCUCUACUUGAAUUGUAUUUGAGAUUCAGAACCAGAAAAUCCUGGUCCUAAAUUAAAAUUAUCCUUGAAUCCAUUAACUCUUAAAUGGAGAAUUGACUGUAUUGGAAAUAUCAUUUUACCAUCAUUUUAGGUUAAUGUGUUGGAAAUGUCUGUCAUUGUUUGACCAAUUUCUAAGUACCUUUUAUUAACUAAAUAUUUAACUAUGUAAUUCUCUCUCUAUAGAGAAAUGAAACAUGUAUGUGACAAAUGGCACAGGUUUCAAGUACAUGUACACUAAGUAAUGGUUAAGGCAGGGUCUGAUCACUUCUUUCAAUUGAUCUUCCACAUUCACUCUACCAACAUCACUUGGAGCCAGGGUUGUAUGUUGUUGUGUAACCAACUUAGGACCUUACUAUGUUGCAACAAAGUUGUUGUUAAACACAAGGUGAAAAGACCAAAUCCAAAUAAAUAAAUAGUGUGUGAUGUUUCGGUAACAGCUUUGUUACCAUCUUCAGGCACUUAUUACCUUGUAUUUAUAAUCUAUAAUCCAAAUUGUACCUUAUCAAAGUUGCUGUUAUAAUGUAUGCCAUUUCAAAAAAGGAUAAGACACUGCAACCAUUUUUAUUUGCUUGGUUAAAGAAGCUUUCUGGCAAUCCCUUCUUCAGCUAACUUAAAACAUAUAAACAAGGUAUUGGAGAUACAAGGUAAUAAGACCAAAUCCAAAUAAAUAAUUAGUGUGUGACGUUUCGGUAACAGCGUUGUUACCAUCUUCAGACAAAAGUACUGAAUGGCCAGUACUAAAUACCAUUCAGUACUUUUGUCUGAAGAUGGUAAUAACUCUGUUACCGAAACGUCACACACUAUUUAUUUAUUUGGAUUUGGUCUUAUUACCUUGUGUUUAUAAUCUACUAGACGAAUGACCCGGCUUCGCCUGGGAAUUCCCCCGAGUGCAAUUUCCUUCAUUCUGAAAGAACAUUACUAAUAAAUAGUAUUAGAGCCAUAGAAUAGCAACACCGAAGUACAUAAUACAUUAUCACAGGCAAAAAGUAUGUGUGAUGUCAAAAAAUGCAAUAUAUUAGUAUUUAGGUAUUUUAUUAUUUAUUUUUCAAUCCAUUUAGGUGUUUUAAAUAUAGUUCAAAUAGUUGGCAGAUUUUCCACCCAACCUCCGAGGUACCCGCCCCAGCGUGUUAACUCUUAUAUAUAGUGGUGCAUCCUCUGUAGGUCUAUUACACUCUUUGGGUAAAAAGGGAUAGGGAUUGAAAUUGCUUGAGAAGAGUGACCGUGAUUGGCCAAGCCUGGCCAGCAGCCUGUAAUCUAAUGUUUUCAGACCCCAGUCAAACAUUCGUAGAUGUUUUUCUGAAAAAAAAAAAAAAAAACUAAUAUUAAUGUAAAUCAUAAUAAUCUGCAACUGUCCUUGAAUAUUCUAAUUCUAGAGAUGUUACCUUUCAAAUAUAUACGUAUAUAGAAAGAAUUAUGAAAAUAAUAUACCACUCAAACAACAAAAAAAAAAAAAGACUAAAAUAGCAUUUUAAAAAAUGUAUUCAUGACAACACAGAAGAAUACACAAAAUUUGAAGUCUUAUUUUCUGGAGCCAAAACAUAAAGAUUUCUUCCUGAGCCAACUCUAGAGCAGGCAACAUACAAUUGCCCAUGCGAGAAACAGGGUUGCUCCAAGUCAAUGCCAGCAAUUUUGAGGGACUGACCUUGAGCCUUGUUAAUCGACAUGGCAAAAGAAACUCGAAUGUGGAACUGCAAUCUUCUAAAAUGCAAAGGAGAAUGUUUAUCAUCAUGAAUCAGUGAAAACUCUAACUCUUUUAACAAAAGAAAAGCCACCUUCCUCAGGCCUGUGACGUUUGUACAAUGGGUAGCCAUCCCUAUCUGUCUGCGUUUCAGCCAAGAGUAGCCGUGGAUAUUUCUUUUGGCAUCUACCCGUUCCAUGCAGCCAGGAUUAGGAUACCCAUGUCCACAUGGCCCAUGAAUCAUAUUUUUGGUUACAGUCCGAAACAGUGAAGCAUCAACCUCCUCAUUGGGGAUUUCAGCACAAAUGAUCGAAUCAAUCUGGUUUGGGCGAAUCUUUUCUUUAAGCCACAAUAAAAUAUGCGCAUGUGGUAGCCCUCGCUUUUGCCAUUCAAUGGUAUAACACCAACAUUGGGGCUUGCCAAAAACAUCGCCCUUGGUGAUCAAAUCUAUAAGCUUGGUAACUUUCAAUUGAAAAAUGCGAGCAACCAAGUCAUGCCGAACAAAUGCACCUUGGGUGGGGAAUUGCAUUAGUUUUAUCUCAGGCCACUCAGGAUUGCAUGUAAAUGUAAUAAAAAGGCCUGGGCGACCAUAUUUACGGACGUAAGCCAUGCAAUCCUGGGCAUACUCAUGCAUGUGCCUUGGACUGCCCACAAAGGAAGAAUAACUUGUCUUCCAAUAAGGGCAUGACUCCUGUCAGUUCGAAUAGCUUCUAACAGAUUGAUGUAUUCGGUUGAACGAAGUUGAGCUUGAUGCGCUGAGAUGUAAUGCAGCCUUUCAGAUUCCACCUUGGCAUAAAUGUCGACCAGAAUUUGAUGGGUCAAAUCUCCAAAAGCCAGUAACCAAUUUGUUAUGCCAGGAUUACGGCUACGAAUCAUUAGCAGUGAAGCAUAAAAAUCCAUGCAAGAAACCGUCUUGUGCGCCGAAGGAACCCCAUCAAUCAGCUGAGGGAUAUGGAAAUGAUAACCAUCUUGACCAUUCCAAAAAACCAAUGCGUAUUGCAGGGCCUCAUAAGACCUGUGAAACUCGUUAAUCCUCUGCACACCACUGCCUCUUUUGGAAAGAACAAUGUCACGUCUGUCACAGUUUUCCUGCACAAUAACAAUUGCAACCUCAUUAAUGCUUGGAGCAUUGAAUGUGCGAGGAUGGUGUCCAGGCGGUGCUUUGUCAGCCUUAAUGACCAACUUGUAAUCAGGAGAAAGCAUUUUUUCAAUGGAAGCUUUGAACAAAUGGAUAUAAGGAUUAUGUUGAUGCAACAUAUCUUGCAAAAUGCUAACAAUGUGGGGCUUAGUGAUGGGAAAGUUUCUAUGGCGGGUGGCAACCUCUGCACUACUAUCUCCGAUGAAGAAAACCUGAAGGAAUGCUGGCUGUAGUUGGCGGCUAUCAGAGUUGAGUGGUGGCAAAACAGAGCCAAUUCUAUGAUAGACCUGGCCUUGGACCUUAAACGUUGGCAUGUAACCUGGCAACACAACCCGACUACCACACCCAAAAGAUGUCAUUUGGAAGGCAUUGUUAUAGCCGAGUGAGAAGAAGACCCAUCGAGCAGAGUUCUGAGAGCUUCUGGGGGUUCAGGUAAAUCAGGAAUUCUGACCUUCCCUGCAGAACAGCACAUUCCAGGCCGCUCACCAUUGUACUUAAAGGCAGUACAAUGUAGACAUUGUUUAUCCAUAUGGCCAAUCUGAAGAAAGGUAAAUUGUUCAUAAUUCAGGGCAGGAUUGUAAUGGAAAGCAGCAUUGAGCAUAUCAGCCCAAGUGCUAGCUCGUUGCCUGAAGUGCCGCAAGCGGUCAGCCUCCUGUCGUGUUUGGGACUGCUGGGGAGUCUCUGAUGCGCGUUGAACUCUGUGGCGCUGCUGGUCACUUUGGAGGCGAGCUUGAGACUGUUGGGGAUUCUCCAAUGUGCUGCUACUUUGGCCUCUAGUAGCUCGGGCAGCCAUGCGUCGAGCUGCAGGAGUUCUUACUCCAAUUGCAGAUCUUUUGCGAGGCAUAUCAAAUGGGAUGAUUAAAUUUGAAAAUAUGUCCUAAAAAAACAGAAAUAGCACAAUCAGUACCAAAAAUAUUUUUGUAUAUAAAAAAAAAAAAAAGCUUUUAAGGAAAACAGUGUAGACCCAAAACAAAUCCAAAGUAUCAGAAUAAGUUACAGAACAAAACUGAUUAUCUAGUAGAAAAGGCAGAAGUAUGUUGGAAAUAUAUAUAGAUAGGGAGAUGGGGCGCACUCAACUAUAGGGGAAAAAAGCAUACUACCCAUCUUAUCAAUAAGGUCUGCCUUUUUAAUAAUAAUAUUAUCUCAUAUUCAAAGAAAAGUAACAAAACAAAGGCCAUCACAACAAUAACUAAACAUUGUCCACACAUAGCAUCAUUAAGUUUGUAAAUAUCAAAACAACAUUGUUCACUAACCAUAACUUGGUAACUAAAACAAAUUUCUCUCUCAACAUUUCAGCAGAAAAAAAAUAAGGCUAAAAAAACGAAUGUAAUGGCAAAACAUGUCAAACAGGUCAAUCUUUAGAAUGCUCAACUAUUUUUUUUUCCCUAGCCUAAUAUCUGCGUAGACAAAAAGAAAGCAGCAUAAUAGAACUACCACAAACAAAAUAUACAGAAAUGGCAAGCGAAUAAAAUAGUAAAAUAAUUGGAAGGGUGAGGAGAGACAGGCUCUCUAAUAUAAUUCCCCAUCUCUCUCAGUAAGAAAAAAAAAUAUAUAUAGGCUUAUAAAAAUGCAAGCCAAAAUACAGUCAUGUUAAUAAAUGUUCAAUAAAAAUAAAAGGGCACAUGGAACUUAGGCAAAUAUAUGACAACAACAGACUAAAUUUUGAACUAUCAAUGAAACAUAUGAUUUUUUUAAAAAGAAUAACAAAACAAAGGCCAUUACAACAAUGACAAAACAUAAGCCCAUUGUUUACAUACAGUAAUAAAAGUUUGUAAAUAUUGUCAAAUCUGCAUUGUUUACUAACUGUAACUUUGUAAAAUGUAGUGCCCUAUCACACAACAUGUCAGAAAAAAAUAAUAAUACUAAAAAAAAACUAAUGCCAAAAUAGCCAUGUUAAUAUUUUAGGCUGAUAAAAACCAAAGGGUAUAUGGAUUAUAGACAAACACAUGUUUUGGCUGUUAAAUGAGACAGUAAUUCAUAUUAAAUUUUCACUACUGUAUUUUUUGCAUAUUGACUAUUGUUUGUUUAAUUUUAAGAAUUAUAUAUCAUAUUGACUGUAAAAAAAAAAACAAAGGCCAGAACAAAAAUUAAUAAAAAUAAGAAAGCCAUUGUUUACAUACAGUAACGUUAAUUUUGUAAAGUUUUUUUUUUAAAUUGCAUUGUGUGAACUUACCGUAACUUAGUAAUAUAAAUUUCUCUCUCAAUACUUUUUGUAAAAAAAGGGACACUCGUAUAAAAAGAUAUUUAAAAAAAAGUACGCAAGCAACUUGAAAAGAAAUGCAGAACGCUCACUGGUCGCUUAAUUGGCCUCGUGUUGUUAUUCUGCCUCUUAUUUACUCUGCGUAAAAAAAAAGUUCAUCAAAUAAAAAAAAGAAAUAGCCAAAAAUACUAAGCAAAAUGUAGCCGAAAAUUUUCCUCAGGUUUAUAAAAAGCGACAUGCAAAAUUUGGUACCAAUUGGUUCAGUAGUUUUUGAGUUUAUCGUGAAACAGACAGACAUUGACUUUUAUAUAUAUAGAGAUAAUCCAAAUUGUGCCUUAUCAAGGUAAUGGAGAGAGUCUCUCCAGUUAGCUGAAGAAUGGCUUGCCUGAAAGCUUCUUUAACCAAGUAAUUAAAAAGAGUUGCAGUGUCUUAUACUUUUUUGUAAUUUGUUGAAAUCCGUAAUCCUGUGGUAAUGAAUGUAUGUCAUUGCUUACAUCACCAGAAGUAUAUUUGGUUACCUUCCACCUAGUAGCAUAUAUAUUGUAACCAUAAUUAUAACAAUAUUGUGGUCACAGAGGCAGUCUUUCUCCUCAUGUAAGUACUGGCAGUUACUGCUGUUUGCUGACUUCCAGUCUAGAUCUACUGUCUUCUGAACAGUUUAGGAGUGAGCAACACUAUGCACUAUGCAUCUUUAAUUGCAUCUUUCUAUAUCCUAGGAAUGGUGAAGACCAUUGAUAAAUCAACACUUGUCAAAGGUAUAGUCGGUCUCGCUCCUUUACUUGCUUAAAUAUCUUGAUUGAAUGUUAGAGUGAGUGUGUAAUGCUUCCCACUGUGGCCAGGUUGCCCUCCCCCAAGAUGGAGACAGUCUCGCCGCUGGGCGGCAGCAGCAGUCCAAGCUACUCUGCCACGGACCAUACCCCGCCCUCCCGUAGGUCCCCAGUGUGGGUGGAAGAGUUCCGGCUCCAUCCCCCGGACCGGGCCAUCACCAGUUUUGCUGACCUCUCAAAGAACAGGGGCACCAAUGCCUUGAACCUGGUGUCCUAUGCUCCCUGUGACCAAGCUGUGAUACAAGACCUCAGGCCUAGGUGUGAGGAUCAAGGAGAUGUGGACCAGUUGACUGUUGGAAUCCAACGGUUGCAGCCGGGCGGACACUUCUACCUACACAACAACGAACAGCCCCAAUGGGGCCAGCCCUACCCUCCCCCACAAUUCCUGCACUACCCUCAGCCCUACCCUGCCACCCAGCCAGCUGGGUUCUCCCUGCACCCCAUGCCCGGACCCUACUACAACAACCUCUAUCACCCUCCCCUCACGUAUAGCAGUCCGCCGCAGCAUCUGCAGCAGGAGUCUCUGCCGCCAUCUCAGCCCGCCGCGCGGGUAUCAGUGCCUGAUGAUGAGGAAGAAGCCCGGGAAGAAGAAGAAGAAGCCCCUCUGCCCCCCUCCAAGCCUGUGCUGGGGAAGACAUUCAGGGUGACCCGGCCCAAAGUCCUCACUCCCUCCCCACCUGCCCCACAGCCAGAGACCCCGUCUCCCAGCAGUGAGGACAAGGGCUUCUAUGUAGCCCUAGAAGAUGGGGAAGUCCCCAGGAAGCCCAAACCCAAACUGAAGCCCAAGAACCUCAAAGUACGGUCCCAGCAGUCCCCCCAGUCUGAGCAGCCUCCUCCCCUGCCCAGGACUCCUUCCACCAACAGCCUUGUCUCCUCGCCGGACGAGGGGCGAGGUUUCAUGGUGGGAGCGGACCUGGUCCAGCCCAAUCCGGUAAGUCUCUACCAACCAAAACACCCUUUUUGGGCUCAAGGAGCAUGGACUCAUGGAAUUUGUGUAAUCUUUGCUCAAGGUGAUAAGAAACAACAACCAACACACCCUUUUUGGUAUCUCUCCUACUGUACACAUGAUAGUGGGUUGGUUGCCACUGUAAAUUCAACAAACACACAACAGUGGAACUCAUUAUAAGAGCACCUUGCAACUAGGUUACAACAACAGUUCAACUACACAGGUAGAAAGGACUUUGCACCUGCAGAGUUGCCAGGACCUCGCCAUGUCAAAACUCUUCUCCUUAUAUGACAGAAUGUUAAAGCUUCAUUUAGAUUAGUUAUCCCAAUGCAAUUCUCAACCUGCAACCCCAAAACACAUUAUUGACUGUAUUGACUCAUCCAUUGAUGAGCUCUACUCAUCCCCAGCAAACACCAUCAAAAGUCUCAAGCUUUACAAGCUUGACACCCUAAUAUGAUUGAGUGGAGAUAAGAAAGAAGAAGAGUUAUCCCAAUUGAGAUAUGUAAGAAGGAGCAUACAAAAAAAAAGCCAAAUUCAGAACAAGAGCAGAUUUAGCAAACAUAGUAUUACUCUGUGUGUAUUUUUACCUUUAGGAAAGGGUUAAGACAAACAAACCUUCAUUGUGUUCGACUAUCUCA